rnacentral:rRNA from 1 species
UACGUAGGGACCGAGCGUUGUCCGGAUUUACUGGGCGUAAAGGGCGCGUAGGCGGCAUGACAAGUCACUUGUGAAAUCUCCGGGCUUAACCCGGAACUGCCAAGUGAUACUGUCGCGCUAGAGUGCGGAAGGGGCAAUCGGAAUUCUCGGUGUAGCGGUGAAAUGCGUAGAUAUCGAGAGGAACACCUGAGGUGAAGACGGGUUGCUGGGCCGACACUGACGCUGAGUGCGCGAAAGCCAGGGGAGCAAACGGG